rnacentral:rRNA from 1 species
AACGAACGCUGGCGGCAUGCCUAACACAUGCAAGUCGAACGAGACCUUCGGGUCUAGUGGCGCACGGGUGCGUAACGCGUGGGAACCUGCCCUUAGGUUCGGAAUAACUCCCCGAAAGGGGUGCUAAUACCGGAUAAAGUCUUCGGACCAAAGAUUUAUCGCCUUUGGAUGGGCCCGCGUUGGAUUAGCUAGUUGGUAGGGUAAAAGCCUAUCAAGGCGACGAUCCAUAGCUGGUCUGAGAGGAUGAUCAGCCACACUGGGACUGAGACACGGCCCAGACUCCUACGGGAGGGAGCAGUGGGGAAUAUUGGACGAUGGGCGAAAGCCUGAUCCAGCAAUGCCGCGUGAGUGAUGAAGGCCUUAGGGUUGUAAAGCUAUUUUACCCGGGAUGAUAAUGACAGUACCGGGAGAAUAAGCACCGGCUAACUCCGUG